rnacentral:lncRNA from 1 species
GUACCACGACUUAAGCGCUAGGUCUGGCCUAGUCUACUUGAAAAAAAGGUUGGAGGAACUCUUGUCCCAGUUCUUCUAUUCCUACUCUGUCUCCUUCUCUAUAUUAACUCCCAAGGUCAGUGAGUCUCAUAGCAAACCAGUCGUUCAUCUCGCUUGGGUUGGUGUUUAAGUAAGAAGCCUUUUUCUCUGGGUUAUGACCUGUAAGGCCUCGCUCACUCAGUUGCUGACUUCUAUUUUAUUAAGUAAAAAUUUUUUUGUUAAACCAAAUAUAAAUAUUUUUAUUAUAAUCUAAAUAAAAUUGUGAAUAAUUUUU